AGUGAACGCUGGCGGUAGGCCUAACACAUGCAAGUCGAACGGCAGCACAGUAAGAGCUUGCUCUUACGGGUGGCGAGUGGCGGACGGGUGAGGAAUACAUCGGAAUCUACUUUUUCGUGGGGGAUGACGUAGGGAAACUUACGCUAAUACCGCAUACGACCUACGGGUGAAAGCAGGGGAUCUUCGGACCUUGCGCGAUUGAAUGAGCCGAUGUCGGAUUAGCUAGUUGGCGGGGUAAAGGCCCACCAAGGCGACGAUCCGUAGCUGGUCUGAGAGGAUGAUCACCCAGCCGGGAACUGAGACACGGUACAGACUCCUACAAGAGGCAGCAGUGGAGAAUAUUGGACAAUGGGCGAAAGGCUGAUCCAGCCAUACCGCGUGAGUGAAGAAGGCCUUCGGGUUGUAAAGCCCUUUUGUUGGGAAAGAAAAGCAGCAGGUUAAUACCCCGCUGUUCUGACGGUACCCAAAGAAUAAGCACCGGCUAACUUCGUG
rnacentral:rRNA from 1 species